GGAUGUGAGGGCGAUCUGGCUGCGACAUCUGUCACCCCAUUGAUCGCCAGGGUUGAUUCGGCUGAUCUGGCUGGCUAGGCGGGUGUCCCCCUCCUCCCUCACCGCUUCAUGUGCGUCCCUCCCGAAGCUGAGCGCUCCGUCCAAGAGGACGACCUUCCUGGAUAGAGGAGGCCCGUUCUUCGGUCAAGGGUAUAGAGUAGCUGCUCUCCCUGCUAGAACCUCCGAACAAGCUCUCUAGGUCCUUCUUGCGAAAGAAUAGUAUUGUUAAGAGAACUUUCUUUUUUCCUGUGAGAAGUAAA
rnacentral:snRNA from 1 species